AAACUUAUCCACAAGGAAUUUGAUAAUAUUAGCUCACAUUGUGUGGCGCUUUACUAGGUCUGCAAAAAGCUCUUGGAAGGAUCCUGUGACACUGUUUGCCUAUUCGGACCUGCUGCUCUUCACCAAGGAGGACGAGCCUGGCCGCUGCGACGUCCUGAGGAACCCCCUCUACCUCCAGAGUGUGAAGCUGCAGGAAGGUUCUUCAGAAGACCUGAAAUUCUGCGUGCUCUAUCUAGCAGAGAAGGCAGAGUGCUUAUUCACUUUGGAAGCGCACUCGCAGGAGCAGAAGAAGAGAGUGUGCUGGUGCCUGUCGGAGAACAUCGCCAAGCAGCAACAGCUGGCAGCAUCACCCCCGGACAGCAAG
rnacentral:lncRNA from 10 species